GAUGAAGAACGUAGUGAAAUGCGAUAAUUAAUGUGAAUUGCAGAAUUCCGUGAAUCAUCGAGUCUUUGAACGCACAUUGCGCCUCAUGGCAUUCCGUGAGGCAUGUCCAUCUCAGCGUUAGAAAAUAUUCUCAAAUUUUAGUUUUGUGCUAAAAUUUGGAUCAUGUCAAAGAAGCUAUUACUAUUAUUGUGAUCGCUCUUUGGAAAUUGAUAGGUCUUUGAGUUGCUACUCAUAGAACGUGAUGAAUCUUUCUUCGUUCUAUUGUAAUUCACUCUGGUAGUCCUAAAACUUGUAUGCCUGUGGCAUAUCUUGUAAUUUGACCUGAGAUUGGGUAGGGAUACCCGCUGAACUUAAGCAUAUCAAUAAGCGGAGGA
rnacentral:misc_RNA from 1 species